AAUAGAUACCCGGGUAGUCCACGCCGUAAACGAUGAAUACUAGGUGUAGGGGUUGUCAUGACCUCUGUGCCGCCGCUAACGCAUUAAGUAUUCCGCCUGGGGAGUACGGUCGCAAGAUUAAAACUCAAAGGAAUUGACGGGGGCCCGCACAAGCAGCGGAGCAUGUGGUUUAAUUCGAAGCAACGCGAAGAACCUUACCUAGACUUGACAUCUCCUGAAUUACUCUGUAAUGGAGGAAGCCACUUCGGUGGCAGGAAGACAGGUGGUGCAUGGUUGUCGUCAGCUCGUGUCGUGAGAUGUUGGGUUAAGUCCCGCAACGAGCGCAACCCUUAUUGUUAGUUGCUACCAUUUAGUUGAGCACUCUAGCGAGACUGCCCGGGUUAACCGGGAGGAAGGUGGGGAUGACGUCAAAUCAUCAUGCCCCUUAUGUCUAGGGCUACACACGUGCUACAAUGGACGGUACAAACGGUUGCGAAGUCGCGAGACGGAGCCAAUCCGAGAAAGCCGUUCUCAGUUCGGAUUGCAGG
rnacentral:rRNA from 1 species